rnacentral:rRNA from 1 species
UACGGAGGGAGCUAGCGUUGUUCGGAAUUACUGGGCGUAAAGCGCGCGUAGGCGGCUUUGUAAGUUAGAGGUGAAAGCCUGGAGCUCAACUUCAGAAUUGCCUUUAAGACUGCAUCGCUUGAAUCCGGGAGAGGUGAGUGGAAUUCCGAGUGUAGAGGUGAAAUUCGUAGAUAUUCGGAAGAACACCAGUGGCGAAGGCGACUCACUGGACACGUAUUGACGCUGAGGUGCGAAAGCGUGGGGAGCAAACAGG